UACAGAGGUCCCGAGCGUUGUUCGGAUUCAUUGGGCGUAAAGGGUGCGUAGGCGGCGGGGAAAGUCUGAUGUGAAAUCCUGGGGCUCAACCCUGGAACUGCAUUGGAUACUUCCUUGCUAGAGUACUGGAGAGGAAACUGGAAUUUCCGGUGUAGCGGUGAAAUGCGUAGAUAUCGGAAGGAACAUCAGUGGCGAAGGCGGCCUGCUGGGGCAGUUGCUGACACUGAGGCGCGACAGCGUGGGGAGCAAACAGG
rnacentral:rRNA from 1 species